AUCAGGAUUUUGGGUUUGGCAAUUUCCCCCUAUACAACGAUAGUUUCCACCUUUCAUGCUGAGGUUACUGUAGUUCGGCAGAAAUGCUAUUGCUUUCUGUACAUGGACACUGAAUUUCCAAAAGUAUUACAUAUAAUAAAAGAGCCCUCCUCACAUGUUAUCACGCAUUCAUUCAUCAAACACCAAGCAUGUUGAAAGUGACAGCUCCUGGAGUAGGCAC